CAGUAGCCGCGGUAAUACGGAGGGUGCAAGCGUUAAUCGGAAUUACUGGGCGUAAAGCGCACGCAGGCGGUCUGUCAAGUCGGAUGUGAAAUCCCCGGGCUCAACCUGGGAACUGCAUUCGAAACUGGCAGGCUAGAGUCUUGUAGAGGGGGGUAGAAUUCCAGGUGUAGCGGUGAAAUGCGUAGAGAUCUGGAGGAAUACCGGUGGCGAAGGCGGCCCCCUGGACAAAGACUGACGCUCAGGUGCGAAAGCGUGGGGAGCAAACAGGAUUAGAUACCCGUGUAGUCCCUGUCUCUUAUAC
rnacentral:rRNA from 1 species